AGUGAAAGAUCCCAGUGUCUGUGUCAGUAAUGGUGUCCAGUCCAGUCAGCUCUUCAUUUCCUUUGCUCUUAAUUGUUGGACCGUUUAGUGGAAUCGUUCUCAUCGUCCUCCUGCUCUUGUUGUGGCACUACAGACGGUCCAAUGUUUUAUGCUGCAUCAGCAGCCAGAGCUCUGCCACCAAUCAUGGAGUGGAUCAGACUGAAGGUCACCUUUACAGCUCUCUGCUACAUGGUUGGUCACUAAAUAAAUGU